CCCAUCCCAGCCCCCCUCUUCGUGGUCUCGUCUCCUUCCCCUUUCUCUUCUCAAUCCAGAUCCAUGGAGGUGGACGAUAGGGACGCCAUCGAUCGCGACGCUAGGGUUCCUAGCCACUGCCACACGCACAGCCGGACAAAGUCACCUCCGCUCUUGCGGCCAUCGAUGGUCCUCCCCACCGUCGCCCGGAAUUGUUCCGCCCAUCUCUGCUCGCCCCCGAGUAGGAAGGCCGUGGCGAAUCUGGCACCUAUAGUCGGAAGCAACAGGGUUGGUGGAGUGGCGCAUGCUGGCGGGGCUGGUAGUUGAGGGGGCUCACCGGCCGUAGCGGCAGGAGCGGUCGGGGAAUCACAUCGCAAGAGGCUGCCUUGGUGAUGAUCUUGCUACAAGUUUCUUCUUGGGUUUACACGGUAACCGUGCAGGCAACUGGUGGUGGAGUCUCGCCGGAUGAUGUGACGGCAGCCAUCGUCCAUAUUAAUUGAUUCAGUAUGUAUGCUCAAACUUUCCCUUGUAAGGCAAGACACUUCAGAGACCAAUGGUUGACAGUCACAGCUGAUACGUAGAACUGCAGGCUCCUCUGUUCCUGUCAGCUUCAGUAGCUCGUUGAUUAAGAUGUAUGAUUGGGUGACCAGCUGCAAGCUCUGGAUGCCAAGGGUGGAGCUUUAAAAGUACUUGAAAAAAUAGUGAUUGCCUAUUCCAUGAUGCAAAUUUCACCAUCCAGUUGAUGGGUCUGCACCUGAUUCCAUUUCAAAGUGGGAGCCUUCUCAGCAAUCUGUGAUGCUUACUCUUGCUGGCCUUCCAAGGAGAGAGGUAACAUCCAGAAAUAAUCGUACUAGCAUGUUGAUAAUUCAGGAUUAUAAAUGCCGUUUGUGGUUCUUUGUUGCUAGAACAUUCCCUUCCCGGGUCGGUUUGGUGAAUCAGCCGUUGUAUUAGUAAGCCGUUGGCACUAGUCCUUUCACGAUAAGGAUCUCUCAAUUGCUGAAAACUAACUAAAUAUCACUAUGAGAUUUUAUGGUGAGGAAUGGUGAAUAUUACCAUGUUGCUAUGCAUGGUAGGAUGCCUCUCGCUCUUGAAUCAUAAUUUCAUGAAAUGUUCUUGUCAAAUGCAAAUACUCAGUGUGUUCUACAGUCCCCUUUGCAUACCUUUUGCCUUUGCUUUCUUGGAUAGUUAUUCAUUAGUCGGUGUCAUCGAUUAUAACUUCACAUCGUCAAUGUUCAGCUUGUUUUUCAAACACCUGUGGAAGUUGCUGCAGGACACAUAACGGGGCGGACGCGAAGGCCUUCAUAGGUAGAGCAGAGCGAGGUCGAUACGGUGGCCAGGCGUGGUCUAGAGAACUGGUGGCUGGUGGUGCGCGAGUUGGAGGCGAGGUGACGUCAUUGACCAAGACGCCUCGUAUAUCCUCAUCUCGUGCCUCCGGGAGAGGAGCUCGUCGAGGAUCCCCUCUUCUCCAUGGAUCCACGAUAGAGGGUCAUAUAUGGAGGAGUGGAUUUGAAAGGAAAGAAUUCCAAUUAGUUGCUUUUGAGGAUGUUCCCGAGGCACUAAAGAACUGGUAGUCUCAUCGUAUGACGGUAUGUAUCUAUUUGGUCAUCAUGUAUAUUGUGUAAACAUAAAAUGAUGCACUGAAUGCACUGCGCUCUUUCCAAUUUUUAUUGUGUC